rnacentral:rRNA from 1 species
GACGAACGCUGGCGGCGUGCUUAACACAUGCAAGUCGAACGAAGAGCGAUGGAAGCUUGCUUCUAUCAAUCUUAGUGGCGAACGGGUGAGUAACGCGUAAUCAACCUGCCCUUCAGAGGGGGACAACAGUUGGAAACGACUGCUAAUACCGCAUACGAUCUAAUCUCGGCAUCGAGGAUAGAUGAAAGGUGGCCUCUACAUGUAGCUAUCACUGAAGGAGGGGAUUGCGUCUGAUUAGCUAGUUGGAGGGGUAACGGUCCACCAAGGGGAUGAUCAGUAGCCGGUCUGAGAGGAUGAACGGCCACAUUGGGACUGAGACACGGCCCAGAAUCCUACGGGAGGCAGCAGUGGGGAAUCUUCCGAAAUGGACGAAAGUCUGACGGAGCAACGCCGCGUGAGUGAUGACGGCCGUCGGGUUGUAAAGCUCUGUUAAUCGGGACGAAAGGCCUUCUUGCGAAUAGGGAGAAGGAUUGACGGUACCGGAAGAGAAAGCCACGGCUAACUACGUG